rnacentral:rRNA from 1 species
AUACAGAGGGUGCAAGCGUUAAUCGGAAUUACUGGGCGUAAAGCGCGCGUAGGCGGUUUGUUAAGUUGGAUGUGAAAGCCCCGGGCUUAACCUGGGAGGGUCAUUCAAAACUGGCAGACUAGAGUGUGGUAGAGGGUAGUGGAAUUCCUAGUGUAGCGGUGAAAUGCGUAGAGAUUAGGAGGAACACCAGUGGCGAAGGCGACUGCCUGGACCAACACUGACGCUGAGGUGCGAAAGCGUGGGUAGCGAACAGGAUUAGAUACCCCUGUAGUCC